AUUGAACGCUGGCGGCAUGCUUUACACAUGCAAGUCGAACGGCAGCACGGACUUCGGUCUGGUGGCGAGUGGCGAACGGGUGAGUAAUACAUCGGAACGUGCCCAGUUGUGGGGAUAACUACUCGAAAGAGUAGCUAAUACCGCAUGAGAACUGAGGUUGAAAGCAGGGGAUCGUAAGACCUUGCGCAACUGGAGCGGCCGAUGGCAGAUUAGGUAGUUGGUGGGAUAAAAGCUUACCAAGCCGACGAUCUGUAGCUGGUCUGAGAGGACGACCAGCCACACUGGGACUGAGACAGGGCCCAGACUCCUACGGGAGGCAGCAGUGGGGAAUUUUGGACAAUGGGCGAAAGCCUGAUCCAGCAAUGCCGCGUGCAGGAUGAAGGCCUUCGGGUUGUAAACUGCUUUUGUACGGAACGAAAAGCUUCGGGUUAAUACCCUGGAGUCAUGACGGUACCGUAAGAAUAAGCACCGGCUAACUACGUGCCAGCAGCCGCCGUAAGAC
rnacentral:rRNA from 1 species